rnacentral:rRNA from 1 species
UACGUAGGGUGCGAGCGUUGUCCGGAAUUAUUGGGCGUAAAGAGCUCGUAGGCGGUGUGUCACGUCGGCCGUGAAAACCUGGGGCUUAACUCUGGGCGUGCGGUCGAUACGGGCAUCACUAGAGUUCGGCAGGGGAGACUGGAAUUCCUGGUGUAGCGGUGAAAUGCGCAGAUAUCAGGAGGAACACCGAUGGCGAAGGCAGGUCUCUGGGCCACUACUGACGCUGAGAAGCGAAAGCAUGGGGAGCAAACAGG